rnacentral:rRNA from 1 species
UACGUAGGUGGCGAGCGUUGUCCGGAUUUACUGGGCGUAAAGAGCGCGCAGGCGGUCGUUCAAGUCGCGUGUGAAAGCCCCCGGCUCAACUGGGGAGGGUCACGCGAUACUGAUCGACUCGAAGGCAGGAGAGGGAAGUGGAAUUCCCGGUGUAGUGGUGAAAUGCGUAGAUAUUGGGAGGAACACCAGUGGCGAAGGCGGCUCACUGGACCGGUACUGACGCUGAUGCGCGAAAGCGUGGGGAGCAAACGGG